UACGUAGGGUGCAAGCGUUAAUCGGAAUUACUGGGCGUAAAGCGUGCGCAGGCGGCUUGCAAGACAGAUGUGAAAUCCCCGGGCUUAACCUGGGAACUGCAUUUGUGACUGCAUGGCUGGAGUGCGGCAGAGGGGAUGGAAUUCCGGCGUGUAGCAGUGAAAUGCGUAGAUAUGCGGAGGAACACCGAUGGCGAAGGCAAUCCCCUGGGCCUGCACUGACGCUCAUGCACGAAGCGUGGGAGCAAACAGG
rnacentral:rRNA from 1 species